UACGGAGGGGGCUAGCGUUGUUCGGAAUUACUGGGCGUAAAGCGCACGUAGGCGGCGCGACAAGUCAGAGGUGAAAGGCCUGGGCUCAACCUGGGAACUGCCUUUGAUACUGGCGUGCUUGAGUCCGGAAGAGGGUGGCGGAAUUCCCAGUGUAGAGGUGAAAAUUCGUAGAUAUUGGGAAGAACACCGGUGGCGAAGGCGGUCACCUGGUCCGGUACUGACGCUGAGGUGCGAAAGCGUGGGGAGCAAACAGG
rnacentral:rRNA from 1 species